CCGGCGACCGGCGCACGGGUGGAGUAACAACGUAUGGAACCGUAGCCCGCCAGCAGGGGGAUAAGCGGAAGAAAUUCCGUCUAAUACCGCGUAACAACGUUGGGAGGCAUCUCCCGAUGUUUAAAGAUUUAUCGGCUGCGGAUGGCCAUGCGGCGCAUUAGCUAGUCGGCGGGGUAACGGCCCACCGAGGCGACGAUGCGUAGGGGUUCUGAGAGGAAGGUCCCCCACACUGGUACUGAGACACGGACCAGACUCCUACGGGAGGCAGCAG
rnacentral:rRNA from 1 species